AUUCGUUGGUGGAGUCGGCUUGUAUGAUGGAACAGUUGAAGUGCGUGUUGGGGAUACCUGGGGUCCGGUGUGUGGAUACACGUACACUAUAAACCGACAGUAUUACUCUUACCCCAACAAUGUGUUUUGUAACAUGAAAGGGCUGCGAUACAUAGGCUACCAUUGGCGCUACGAUAGCACAAUGUCAAACGGAUUCAUAGGAAACCUACUGUGUUCUUCAAAUUCAUCCGAUGUGAACUUGUGCAACUAUACAACAGUCUAUUCAUGCCAGGCUAAUCUAGGAAUUAGCUGUAAUGGCUUCCCUUUGGAUAUUAGAUCAAUUGGUUUGGUUGGUGGAUCAAGUGCACGUGAUGGUCGUGUAGAAUUGCGAAUUGAAAAUACUGCUGGCACAAUCUGCCAAGAUAAUUUCGAUUUGAAGGAUGCGCA